rnacentral:rRNA from 1 species
CCUACGGGAGGCAGCAGUAGGGAAUGUUGCGCAAUGGGCGAAAGCCUGACGCAGCAACGCCGCGUGAACGAGACGGACUUCGGGGUGUAAAGUUCUGUCAGUGGGGACGAAAGAUGACGGUACCCACAGAGGAAGCACCGGCUAACUCCGUGCCAGCAGCCGCGGCAAUACGGAGGGUGCAAGCGUUGUCCGGAAUCAUUGGGCGUAAAGAGUUCGUAGGCGGUAUGUUAAGUCUGGUGUUAAAUGCAGAAGCUCAACUUCUGUUCGGCACUGGAUACUGGCAAACUAGAAUGCGGUAGGCGGAAUGUAUGGUGUAGCGGUGAAAUGCUUAGAGAUCAUACAGAACACCGAUUGCGAAGGCAGCUUACCAAGCUACUUCUGACGUUGAGGCACGAAAGCGUGGGGAGCAAACAGGAUUAGAUACCCGAGUAGUC